GAUGAAGAACGUAGCGAAAUGCGAUAAGUAAUGUGAAUUGCAGAAUUCAGUGAAUCAUCGAAUCUUUGAACGCACCUUGCGCCCUUUGGCCAUUCCGAAGGGCAUGCCUGUUUGAGUAUCAUGAACACCUCAAUUCUCAUGGCUCGCCAUGAUGAGCUUGGACUUUGGGGGUCUUGCUGGCCUGUGGUCGGCUCCUCUCAAAUGGAUCAGCUUGCCAGUGUUUGGUGGCAUCACAGGUGUGAUAACUAUCUGCGCUUGUGGUUUUCCAUCAGAUAACCUUCAGUGAUGGAGGUUCGCUGGAGCUCAUAAACGUCUCCCCUAAGCGGGGACAGCCCUUUGAAUGUUUGAUCUCAAAUCAGGUAGGACUACCCGCUGAACUUAAGCAUAUCAAUAAGCGGAGGA
rnacentral:misc_RNA from 1 species